UGGGGAAUAUUGGACAAUGGGCGCAAGCCUGAUCCAGCCAUGCCGCGUGAGUGAUGAAGGCCCUAGGGUUGUAAAGCUCUUUCACCGGUGAAGAUAAUGACGGUAACCGGAGAAGAAGCCCCGGCUAACUUCGUGCCAGCAGCCGCGGUAAUACGAAGGGGGCUAGCGUUGUUCGGAUUUACUGGGCGUAAAGCGCACGUAGGCGGACUUUUAAGUCAGGGGUGAAAUCCCGGGGCUCAACCCCGGAACUGCCUUUGAUACUGGAAGUCUUGAGUAUGGUAGAGGUGAGUGGAAUUCCGAGUGUAGAGGUGAAAUUCGUAGAUAUUCGGAGGAACACCAGUGGCGAAGGCGGCUCACUGGACCAUUACUGACGCUGAGGUGCGAAAGCGUGGGGAGCAACCAGG
rnacentral:rRNA from 1 species